rnacentral:rRNA from 1 species
AGUGAACGCUGGCGGUAGGCCUAACACAUGCAAGUCGAACGGCAGCACAGUAAGAGCUUGCUCUUACGGGUGGCGAGUGGCGGACGGGUGAGGAAUACAUCGGAAUCUACUUUUUCGUGGGGGAUAACGUAGGGAAACUUACGCUAAUACCGCAUACGACCUACGGGUGAAAGAAGGGGAUCUUCGGACCUUGCGCGAUUGAAUGAGCCGAUGUCGGAUUAGCUAGUUGGCGGGGUAAAGGCCCACCAAGGCGACGAUCCGUAGCUGGUCUGAGAGGAUGAUCAGCCACACUGGAACUGAGACACGGUCCAGACUCCUACGGGAGGCAGCAGUGGGGAAUAUUGGACAAUGGGCGCAAGCCUGAUCCAGCCAUACCGCGUGGGUGAAGAAGGCCUUCGGGUUGUAAAGCCCUUUUGUUGGGAAAGAAAAGCAGCAGGUUAAUACCCCGCUGUUCUGACGGUACCCAAAGAAUAAGCACCGGCUAACGUCGUG